AUACGGAGGGUGCGAGCGUUAAUCGGAAUUACUGGGCGUAAAGCGCGCGUAGGCGGUCUGCCAAGCCGGAUGUGAAAUCCCCGGGCUCAACCCGGGACGUGCAUACGGAACUGUCAGGCUAGAGUACGGUAGAGGUGAGUGGAAUUUCCUGUGUAGCGGUGAAAUGCGUAGAUAUGGGAAGGAACAUCAGUGGCGAAGGCGGCUCACUGGACUGAUACUGACGCUGAGGUGCGAAAGCGUGGGGAGCAAACAGGAUUAGAAACCCCAGUAGUCC
rnacentral:rRNA from 1 species